AUUGCGCAUGCGCGCGCCCGGGCGGCGCGGGAUCUGGGUCUGGGGAUGUGGUACCGGCUGCUGGCGGCGGCCGGCAGUAGAGCGGUGGCCAGGCCGCUGGCCUUGCUGUGGCGAUGUGGUGGCCCAGGAGGCGGCAGGACGGCCAAGACCAGCGCGAGGGCCCUGGGCAAGGCCCGACAGUGGUUAUGGCCAGUGAGAAUGUGCGGUGUUGCAUUGCAGAAGAAGCUAGGAAAGCUCAUCUGGCCUCCUGUUCCAGUGCUUCCAGGGGAUCCACGUUCAGAAGCUGACUCUGCAGGCAAGACCGACGUUAUUUUCCUGGUGGCUGUGUUCAAAACCACCCAAAGGGUUUGAGAAAUACUUUAAGAGGAGUGGAAGGAACACAAACUGAGAAACAUCAACAGCACCAAAAAAAGCUGUUGGAGUAGCACUGUAUUUGUGAAGUGGACAGUGUCAUGGCUUACUUGUUCUGGAACUUGUCCUGGAACAUUACAGGAAGAGGCUGGUAGGUCCGUGGGACACAAAUAUACGUAGGAGGCCAGAUUUUUUGGAGGAGAGGCAGACUCUGCUUA
ensembl:lncRNA AFG3L1P AFG3 like matrix AAA peptidase subunit 1, pseudogene